CUUUCCUCUAGCAAUUGGGUUUCUUUUUCCACGUUGUUUCUCUGAAAUCUUCAUCAGAUGUAGGAAGUUUCUGUUAGAUUGGAUCCGUUGUAUUGAAGAUCGAUCGUCGUUCUUCGCAGCGCUGCGUAUCCGAGAUGUUUUUCUUGGCGUAUGGAUCAAGAUCGACCGUUUCGUCGUAGAUCUGCGUAUCGAUACAGUGAUUGAUGAUCCGGAUCCAGAAUCCGCAGAUCUAUGGAGGUCUUCCAUCGGUUUUCUAUUCUUGCAUGUUUUAUGGAGUUUGAUUGACAAAGAUACUGUUAAUCGUAGGAAAGGCGAGAGAUCGUCGUUAAGAUGCUCAAGAUUCAUAGAAUUACGAGUACCUCGUAAGAUUCUCAGACCAUAGAUUUAGUGGAGAAAGAGCAGAAUCCAUUGAUCUAUGUGCUGAUGUGCUUCCUCUGCUUGUUGCGUAUCUGGCGAAGGUAGUUUUUGGAAGCAAAGGUGGUAUAUCGGACAUGUGAUUUUAGGCCAAAAGGCCUAAAGGUUUUGGUACAUUACUCGAUGGUUUUGUGUAUUGUUCUGCUUUAUUUCUGUAUCAUAAUUUGUUAGAUUGAUUAGGAUGGAGGAAAGCGAAAUCUGCGGAGGUAUAUAUUCCCAUUAUAUACUGCUGUUUAUAAUAGACCUUUGCCAUGACGGGCGCGCUUGCAUGGCAGGUCAAAAAUGCUAAUAAAAUUUAUAUUUUUUUGGGUUGUUUGGGGGGGGAGAUGGCACGGGGUUUAUUUUUAUUUUUUUCUUUUGCCCGGCUCUCCCCCCAACGUGUGUGUGCGUGCUCUCUCUCUCUCUCUCUCUCUCUCUCUCCGUUUCAAUCUUUUUUUCGUAUUUUCUCUUCGUGGUGAUGAAUUUCCCAACGAACAAUCAAUACGAGCACGUAAAGACGUAAGUGUUCUUCAGCUUUUGAGUCAAAUUGGUUAUUCAGCGAGCAUCAGUUUCUGAUACAAAUUUAUUUAUCAGCGACAUCAGCGGGAAAAUGAAGAGGUACAAUUUCUAAUGCCUUUAGUUUGUGCACUAUUUCAAUUCUUUGUGCACUAAAUUUCCUACCCGGCAAAAUACAUCAUAAAUAUUUUCGUCACCGUUUACGUUUAAGAAUAUUUUACUUUAUGAUUAAAAGCUAUUUGCCCUAUAUAAUUUCGUCUCGGUUAGACGUCACACUUUCCUGUUUAUACAAGCGUCUAUAUUUGUAGCUAAGAAAUAAAAAACCGUCAAACCGCCCAGUUCAAUUUGCCCAUAUAAUAUGACAGUCACAUGCGUAAGAUUUAUUUGAUUUAUGCACUUUUACUACAGUUCACAAUGAGUUGAAGUCAAUGAAACACGAAAUCCGCGUUUGAAUUGGCACGAGUACUGUGUUGUACUGCUGUGUUACCUUGAAUCUCCAAAGUUAAUCACUGUUAUGUUUCCUAUAAAUAACCAUCAAAUAGAAUCAUGAGCGUCGGACACUCUCCAAUAUGCUUGUGCUUUAUUUGCUCGACAGAAUUUUUGGAAAUUUUAUAUUGAAUGGGUUUCGGAUGUUGUUUUCUUGAUGUUAGAUGUACAUUUUCUCGUUCGAAAAUGUCACUGUAUGGUAUUGUUGGAUUCCGUAUUUUGUGGCUACGGAAGCAUUUGUUGCACGACCACUUGGUUAUGGACUAAUAUAUGAAGGACUUUGUAUUUUCCUGAAGUGUAAUUCUUCUCUGUUACCAAUAUGGCCCUGUUACUUAGGAGAUUUUAUUUCAAAGAGACUAUAUACGAGGCAAGGGAUGGGUAUCAAUAUGUAAUGUAAUGACUACUGUGGGAGUUGCUGUCGAAAGUCUUAAAACUUGCUCUCCGAGGACAUCUUUCGCCAUUGAUGUCAGUAAUUAGGAUAUUGCUUGGAGAACUUCUAUCCCCAACACUCAGAUUCAACUCUGGAAUGCAAAGGGACCCAUCUUCCCCAGUGUUUCCUUGCAUUGUUCGGGUGAUUGUUUUUUUAAGCACGGUAAUGUAUGGGCAUUCUUCUAUAGUAUAAGAAUGUGAUGCGAUGUUCAAAUUUAUUACAAAUAAAAGCCUUGAUUAACAUCAAUAUGAAAUUUUAUAUCAUUGUUGUUUUUAAAUGGGAACCUAAUUAAAAAUUAAUUACAUCUGAAGUGGUAGUAAAGGAUGCUGAAGCCACGGCGAUGCGUGGUCCGCUGUAAGUUGCAGAGUUAAAAGAGAACAACUUUUUUUCCCCCUUAAAAAAUGCUUAAUUCGCAACUCUUCUUAUUUGGGUUUUUUGGAGAAUAUUGUAUAGAGCUCUCCCAUUCAUUCGGUAAGAACCCCGUUACUCACAAACCCACUACUUUGUAAGUGAUGAGGUUUUAUUCUGGGAUAAAUACCAUUUCUGUAUUUUAUAUGGCUUUUUGUUUUUUAUAAUUGCCGUUGUUUUCAUUGUUCAACACGCGUGCGUUUAACAUAAUUAAAGU